AUUGAACGCUGGCGGCAUGCUUUACACAUGCAAGUCGAACGGUAACAGGCCGCAAGGUGCUGACGAGUGGCGAACGGGUGAGUAAUGCAUCGGAACGUGCCCAGUCGUGGGGGAUAACGCAGCGAAAGCUGUGCUAAUACCGCAUACGAUCUGUGGAUGAAAGCGGGGGACCGUAAGGCCUCGCGCGAUUGGAGCGGCCGAUGUCAGAUUAGGUAGUUGGGGGGGUAAAGGCUCACCAAGCCGACGAUCUGUAGCUGGUCUGAGAGGACGACCAGCCACACUGGGACUGGGACACGGCCCAGACUCCUACGGGAGGCAGCAGUGGGGAAUCUUGGACAAUGGGCGCAAGCCUGAUCCAGCAAUGCCGCGUGCAGGAAGAAGGCCUUCGGGUUGUAAACUGCUUUUGUACGGAGCGAAAAGGCUCUCUCUAAUACAGGGGGUUCAUGACGGUACCGUAAGAAUAAGCACCGGCUAACUACGUGCCAGCCGCCGCAGUAAAAC
rnacentral:rRNA from 1 species